UCACAUAUGCAGAGUUCUACCCUAUGUGUGCUUUGAGGUGAAGGAACAUCCUCGUAGCUCACAGAGGAAAUCACAAAUCCAUGGCAUCUGCAUUAAGGGAUGGUGAUUCCACCUGCUCCAGUGCCUGACCAACCUUUCCAGGGAGAGAUUUUUCCUGAUAUCCAACCUAAACUUCUUCUGGAGCAACCUGAGAAACAACUGGAAGAACACUGGAUCAAACCUCUCCGUGAAGACAUGUGGAUAUAUCUGAUGCAGGCAGAAGAACAAGGGGCUGUGAGGGAUUGUCAUUCAGAUCUGGAGUGUCACCAGUCUGAGAGAGAGGAGCCCAACGGGGUGAAAACAAACGUUCAGCUGC